AACGCACAUUGCGCCCGCCAGUAUUCUGGCGGGCAUGCCUGUUCGAGCGUCAUUUCAACCAUCAAGCCCCCGGCUUGUGUUGGGGACCUGCGGCUGCCGCAGGCCCUGAAAACCAGUGGCGGGCUCGCUAGUCACUCCGAGCGUAGUAGUAUUAUCUCGCUCAGGGCGUGCUGCGGGUUCCGGCCGUUAAAAAGCCUUUUUUACCCAAGGUUGACCUCGGAUCAGGUAGGAAGACCCGCUGAACUUAA
rnacentral:misc_RNA from 1 species